GAUGAACGCUAGCGGCAGGCCUAACACAUGCAAGUCGAGGGGUAGAAGGAGCUUGCUCCUUUGAGACCGGCGCACGGGUGCGUAACGCGUAUGCAAUCUACCUUGUACAGGGGAAUAGCCCAGAGAAAUUUGGAUUAAUGCCCCAUAGUAUAUAACCUUCGCAUGUUGGUUAUAUUAAAGUUCCAACGGUACAAGAUGAGCAUGCGUCCCAUUAGUUAGUUGGUAAGGUAACGGCUUACCAAGACGAUGAUGGGUAGGGGUCCUGAGAGGGAGAUCCCCCACACUGGUACUGAGACACGGACCAGACUCCUACGGGAGGCAGCAGUGAGGAAUAUUGGUCAAUGGUCGCAAGACUGAACCAGCCAUGCCGCGUGCAGGAAGACGGUCCUAUGGAUUGUAAACUGCUUUUAUACAGGAAGAAACCCUCCCACGUAUGGGAGCUUGACGGUACUGUAGGAAUAAGGAUCGGCUAACUCCGUG
rnacentral:rRNA from 1 species